GAUGAACGCUGGCGGCGUGCCUAAUACAUGCAAGUCGAACGAGGUGCUUUUGUAGCAAUACGAGAGUAUCCUAGUGGCGAACGGGUGAGUAACGCGUUGGUGACCUACCCCAAAGUGUGGGAUAACAGUCCGAAAGGACUGCUAAUACCGCAUGUGGUUAUUGGCUUUAGAAACCGGUAACUAAAGGAGCAAUUCGCUUUGGGAGGGACCUGCGUCCCAUCAGCUAGUUGGUGAGGUAAUGGCUCACCAAGGCGACGACGGGUAGGGGACCUGAGAGGGUGGCCCCCCACAAUGGAACUGAAACACGGUCCAUACACCUACGGGUGGCUG
rnacentral:rRNA from 1 species